rnacentral:rRNA from 1 species
UACGUAGGUGACAAGCGUUGUCCGGAUUUACUGGGCGUAAAGAGCGCGCAGGCGGUCGUUCAAGUCGAGUGUGAAAGCCCCCGGCUCAACUGGGGAGGGUCACUCGAUACUGAUCGACUCGAAGGCAGGAGAGGGAAGUGGAAUUCCCGGUGUAGUGGUGAAAUGCGUAGAUAUCGGGAGGAACACCAGUGGCGAAGGCGGCUCACUGGCCCGGUACUGACGCUGAGGCGCGAAAGCGUGGGGAGCAAACAGG